GAUGAACGCUGGCGGCGUGCCUAAUACAUGCAAGUCGAGCGAACAGACGAGGAGCUUGCUCCUCUGACGUUAGCGGCGGACGGGUGAGUAACACGUGGAUAACCUACCUAUAAGACUGGGAUAACUUCGGGAAACCGGAGCUAAUACCGGAUCAUAUAUUGAACCGCAUGGUUCAAUAGUGAAAGACGGUUUUGCUGUCACUUAUAGAUGGAUCCGCGCCGCAUUAGCUAGUUGGUAAGGUAACGGCUUACCAAGGCGACGAUGCGUAGCCGACCUGAGAGGGUAAUCGGCCACACUGGAACUGAGACACGGUCCAGACUCCUACGGGAGGCAGCAGUAGGGAAUCUUCCGCAAUGGGCGAAAGCCUGACGGAGCAACGCCGCGUGAGUGAUGAAGGUCUUCGGAUCGUAAAACUCUGUUAUGAGGGAAGAACAAAUGUGUAAGUAACUAUGCACGUCUUGACGGUACCUAAGCAGAAAGCCACGGCUAACUACGU
rnacentral:rRNA from 1 species